rnacentral:rRNA from 1 species
CUCCUUCCUCCAAUCAAUGAAAUUGAUCUUCUCGUGAAGAAGCGAGAAUAUUAUUAUUAGACGAGAAGACCCCAUGGAGCUUUAAACUUAUUACCAAUUACUUAACCGCUAAACCAUAAUAUGUAGUAAAAAUGUUCUUAAUAGUUUUCGGCUGGGGUGGCCCUGGAGUAAAAUAAACCCUCCAGAAUGAACGGAAUAAGACCCUAAUCUAAGAAUUACAGCUCAAAGAAUCAAAAAACUGACAUUAUUGAUCCAAUUAAUUGAUUAACGAAACAAGUUACCCUGGGGAUAACAGCGCAAUCCAUUUUGAGAGCCCCUAUCAACAAAUGGGUUUACGACCUCGAUGUUGGAUCGGGGUAUCCCGGUGGCGCAGCCGCUACUAAUGGUUCGUUUGUUCAACGAUUAACAACCCCACGUGAUCUGAGUUCAAAC